GAGGAAUAUUGGGCAAUGCCCGCAAGGGUGACCCAGCAACGCCGCGUGGAGGAUGAAUGUCGUAAGAUUGUAAACUCCUGUUAGAGGGGAAGAAUAGUACCGGUUGGACCGGUAUAUGACUGUACCCUCAGAGAAAGCCCCGGCUAACUACGUGCCAGCAGCCGCGGUAAUACGUAGGGGGCAAGCGUUGUCCGGAUUUACUGGGUGUAAAGGGCGCGCAGGCGGGAUAAAAAGUCAGUGGUGAAAUCCUACAGCUUAACUGUAGAACUGCCUUUGAUACUUUUAUUCUUGAGUUCGGGAGAGAGAGACGGAAUUCCAGGUGUAGUGGUGAAAUACGUAGAUAUCCGGAAGAACACCAGUUGCGAAGGCGGUCUCUUGGUCCGACACUGACGCUGAGGCGCGAAAGCGUGGGGAGCAAACA
rnacentral:rRNA from 1 species